rnacentral:lncRNA from 1 species
AAAAAAUGCUGCACCCCUUCCCCCUUUUUGUUCUCUACUAGGGUUUUAUACCCAAGCCGCCGCGCCGCCGUUCCACCAUGCGCCACAGCUCCGAUCGCGAUGGAGGUGGCGCCGAUCGACGCUUCCGGCCAGAGAGGUAAGCUUCCCUUUUUCUUUUCUUUGUUACUUCUUUAAAAAAACAAAAACGCAAAAGAAAAGAAAAAAAUAAAUAAAUAAAACUGCAAGAACCCGAUUCACCUUAAGAAAAAAAUCUUUGUAUUUUCUAUUUUUCUCUUGAUUUCUCUCUUGUCUAUUUCUCUGUCUUUUACACUCCAAAAAUCCCCCUUUUAUCCUUUUUUACAAUCGGUUUAUAUAACCGAAAUAAAACAUCAAAAUAUCAAAAAAAAAUCAAAAGAAUCCUUAUUUUCUUGUUAUUGUUGCGAUGAAUACUGAUUUGGAUCCGCUUUUCUCGCAGGUACGACGAUCGUGGAGGCACGAUUUGUGCGGAGAGGGUGAGCUGCGGCGGCUACUGGCAAAUGCUGCUAUGGUUCUCU